rnacentral:rRNA from 1 species
UAAGGGCACCACAAGAACGCGUGGAGCAUGUGGCUUAAUUUGACUCAACGCGGGAAAUCUUACCGGGUCCGGACACACUGAGGAUUGACAGGCAAUAUUAAUUUCUGCAGCUUCGGCUAAAGUUAUUAUGUUAAAUAUGCUAGUCCUUUCAUGAUUAUGUGAUAGGUGGUGCAUGGCCGUUCUUAGUUCGUGGAGUGAUCUGUCUGCUUAAUUGCGUUUCACUAAGGGCCUAUAAAUUACGUGUGUUGCGGUACUUUGACCCCUCUUUUUUCACGAGAAGAGCGCGUGUCUUAGUUUGCUUAGCUCACACAAUUAGGUCCUGAAAGCAACGAACGUGACCGCAACCUCUUGUUGCCUUUAUACCAAACAUGGAUAUUCUCUUCGGAGGGUUUCAUGAAAAAAGGCUUUUUAAACUAGAGGGACCGCUGUUACUUUCUUAAACCAGAGGAAGGUUGCGGCAAUAACAGGUCUGUGAUGCCCUUAGAUGUUCCGGGCUGCACACGUGCUACAAUGAUUAUUGCAGUGAGCAUCUCAUUUUUUACACACCGCAUACGCGAGUCCAUUUAUUCACUCUCGGGUGCUUUAAAUGUGCAUCUCUGCGAGCGGUAAAGCCUGCUUCGAAAGUAAGUGGGUAAUCAAUUAGAAGUAAUGAUUUCCUUUUUUUCUAGCACACAUAUAUACGGCGUUUAUACCCGGGCUGCCUUGUUGUAGCUUUUGUGCGUAUAGAUGUUUUUUCCGUAUGUGCGAUUGUCAAUUCAUGGUGGGGACAGACCAUUGUUAAUUGUUGGUCUCGGUCUUAACUAGGAAUGCCUUGUACGGGUCUUUGGUUCAACAAACCACCCGGAAUACGUCCCUGCCCUUUGUACACACCGCCCGUCA